rnacentral:rRNA from 1 species
AUUGAACGCUGGCGGCAGGCUUAACACAUGCAAGUCGAACGAGUGGCGGACGGGUGAGUAAUGCUUGGGAAUCUAGCUGAUGGAGGGGGAUAACUACGGGAAACUGUAGCUAAUACCGCGUACCAUAGGAUGAGCCAAAGUGGGAUUAGGUAGUUGGUGGGGUAAAGGCUCACCAAGCCGACAUGCUCUAACUGGUCUGAGAGGAUGACCGGCCACACUGUGACGGGUACCCGGCCCCGACGCCUACGGUAGGCAGCAGUGGGGAAUAUUGCGCAAUGGGGGAAACCUGAUCCAGCCAUCCCGCGUGUGCGAUGAAGGCCUUCGGGUUGUAAAGUUCUUUCGGUAGCGAGGCGUUAACUACAGAAGAAGCACCGGCUAACUCCGUGCCAGCAGCCGCGGUAAUAC